AGCAGUGGGGAAUUUUGGACAAUGGGCGCAAGCCUGAUCCAGCAAUGCCGCGUGAGUGAAGAAGGCCUUCGGGUUGUAAAGCUCUUUUGUCAGGGAAGAAACGGUGAGGGCUAAUAUCCCUUGCUAAUGACGGUACCUGAAGAAUAAGCACCGGCUAACUACGUGCCAGCAGCCGCGGUAAUACGUAGGGUGCAAGCGUUAAUCGGAAUUACUGGGCGUAAAGCGUGCGCAGGCGGUUUUGUAAGUUUGUCGUGAAAGCCCCGGGCUCAACCUGGGAAUUGCGAUGAAAGACUGCAAGGCUUUGAAUCUGGGCAGAGGGGGGGUAGGAAUCCCACGUGUAGCAGUGAAAUGCGUAGAGAUGGUGGAAGGAACCACCGAUGGGCGAGGCAGCCCCCUGGGUCAAGAUGGACGCUCAUG
rnacentral:rRNA from 1 species